CACACCGCCCGUCACACCAUGGAAGUCUGCUGCACCAGAAGUAGGUAGUCUAACCGCAAGGGGGGCGCCUACCACGGUGUGGCCGAUGACUGGGGUG
rnacentral:rRNA from 1 species